rnacentral:lncRNA from 1 species
GGUAGUCAGUAAGGAACUAUAGUUGCAACAAAACUACUUUGACAACAGAGUACAAUUAAUUUCUUAUAGACAAUAUUAAAAUAAUUCCGACAUCAUAAUUUAAUAUUCAUAUCUAUUCGUGUAACACGCAAUAUAAUAGAGUUAUGACGAUAUGGAUCCUCAGCUGCCUGACAAUGUAUAGGUUAUUUAUUGGAAGGUUCUCUAGAUUUCCAGCCAGUGACAUGUAUGUUUUAUUCUCGCUUCUUCUGAGCGUCCCAGGGAAAGGGGUGGGAGGCCCCCCCACCCCUGCUGACAGCAUUAACAACCACCCCGCUGGAUGAGCAGAGUUUCACUGAUGCACUUUUAAGAAAGUUGCAGGCCCCAGAGACCCCAUUUCCCUUUGGUCCUCGGUGAGAAAUCCGUGCUUUCUUCUCUACUCUUAAUAAGGCUGCACCAUAGGACUUGCAGGCUUCUGUAGUUGGAGAGCUGUUCUCCUUUGCAGGGAAGUUCCUGGGCUUUGCUCCAAAGCUGCCCCGGAAUGUUUUGGUUGGUUUGGAGAAAAGCUGUGGCGUCUACACCACUUGUUCCAAGCAGGCGGCCCCCUGGUGGCUAACUGGGGGUGAAAAAGCUGGCCAGUGAGGAGGAAGUCUGGCGCAGGUAGAAGAUUCUGAGGCCCUGGGCGGGAACUAGUAAGCCACAAUCUGGAAGAGUCUUUUAUCACCAUGUGGAGACCUAGAGCAUUCAUGUUGAACUAUUACUGAGAUAAGCAAUCAACUUCUUUUGUGUUAAGUCACUGAAAGGUGGUGAUAACUUCUGGAAACACCAAGGACUGAAAAGAAAGGAAACUGCAGAAAGUGGAGGGCCACAGAAGCAGCAGAUCACAGGCUUUUUCUCAGGGGCUUGUCUCAGCUAGUGUUCCAAGACUAGCAAUCCAUAAACAUUGCUUGCCCUGGGGGGAAAAUAAAGAUUUCGCCAAUACUGCAUCUCUUCGAUUUUUACCCAUUUCCUUUACUUGGUCCUAUUUUUACUUGGUCAAAGAAAUACCUGUAUCAUAUACUCAGAAUUUCCCCUUAAUUAUAAGUUAAAAAAAAAAGUCAAUAAAAGACAAAAUGGGAAGUGUUGAAGCACUGUCCAGAAACGAUAGUAAUAGCAAUAUAAAAAGAAGAAGGGUAGUGAACUGACCUUAGCAAAUUUGCUCUGCCACUGAUUUGCUAGUCAAGUGACCCUAUUUUCCUGACUCUGUUUCUUUAGUAAAAUGUGGAUGUUAUCAUAGGUGACCGCAGAUCCCGAAGUUCCUUUGUGUGUGUGUGUGUGGGCGGGGGGUGAGAUUUAAAAAUUUGAUUCAAAUAAAUUUCCAUUUGCU